GCACACAUAAUUUAUCAGGAAAAAUGAUUGACUUCCAAUCAGUGAUGGUGGGUUCAAGUCCCGCUGUGUGCA
rnacentral:tRNA from 1 species